rnacentral:rRNA from 1 species
GCUAGAUUCUUUUGUAUUUUAUACUAUUAUUAAUAUUAUUACUUUAUUAAUUUAAGUAAAUUUAAUGAAAUAAUUAUUUACUCAAUCUGUUAAGGUAUUUAAUUAAAAUAAAGUAUAAAAAUUUAUAGUACCUUUUGUAUCAGGGUUAAUUAAUUAUUUUAAGUAAGUUUAUUUUCCCGAAUUAAGAAUUUCAAUUAAAAUAUUUUUGUGUUUAUUUCAUAACUCUAUAUAAUAUUUUUAUAGUAAUUAUAUGUUAUUCAUUUUUUAUAUAUCUGGUUAUUAAGGAUUUAAAUUUAAUUUAGCAUUUACAGUUUAUUUUUAAUUAAUUAGGGUAAUUGUGAUUUUAUUAGGGAUAAGCUUAAUAAAUAAUUACAAUCUAUAAUUAUAUUUUUUAAUUAUUUUCUUUAAAAUUUUGUUUUAAGUUUUUAAUAAAUUAUUAUUUAUAUAUAUUAUUUUAUUAGAUUUAUUUUUUUACUUAAUUUUAUUUAAAAAUAAAUUAUAUUAUUAAUAAUGAUUGAAUUAGUAUAAUUUAUAAUUAAAACUAUAAUGAACUCGACAAAUAUUAAUUCCAACUGUUUAUCAAAAACAUUUCUUUUUGAUUAUAUAAAAAGUAUCUUCUGCCCUAUGAAUUAAAUUAAAUGGCUGCAGUAUAUUGACUGUACAAAGGUAGCAUAAUAAUUAGUUUUUUAAUUGAAAGCUUGUAUGAAUGGAUGUAUGAGAAUUAUUUUAUAUUUAUUUUAAAAUUAAAAUUUUAAUUUUAAGUUAAAAUGCUUAAAUUUUAUCUUGGGACGAUAAGACCCUAUAGAACUUUAUUUAAUUUUAAUUAUAACUUUUUAUAAUAAAUUUUUAAUUAAAUUUAUUUUUUGCUGGGGUGGUAGUUAAAUUUUAACUUUAACUUAAAAUAUCAAUAUAUAUAUGUAUAUUAUUAUCCUUUUAGGAAUUAAGAUUAAGUUACCUUAGGGAUAACAGCGUAAUUUUAAUGGGGAGUUCAUAUCUAUAUUUAUUUUUGCGACCUCGAUGUUGAAUUAAGAAAAAUUAAAGAAGCAGAAUUCUUUAUGUUAAGUCUGUUCGACUUUUAGUUUCUUACAUGAUUUGAGUUCAAACCGGCGUGAGCCAGGUUGGUUUCUAUCUAAGAUAAUUAAAUGAUUAUUUAGUACGAAAGGACCAUUAAUCUUACUAUUAAAGUAUUAUUUAACAAU